rnacentral:misc_RNA from 1 species
CCGAGUUUACAACCUCCCCAAACCCCUGUGAACAUACCUAUCGUUGCUUCGGCGGAUCCGCCUCCCGGGCGGCCCUCGGGCCCGGGAUCAGGGCGCCCCGCCGGAGACCCCCCAAACUCUUGUAUUUUCUUUAGUAUCUUCUGAGUACAACAAGCAAAUAAAUAAAAUUUAA